UAAGCCAGUUAAUGGAUUCUGGUCUAAGCAGUGAGGUUUGGUAUGAGUCAAAUGCUUGUACCUCUAAGAUUGAGCUGUGAUGGGGAAGCACUUUCGAGUGCGAAGUACCUGAUGUCACACUGCCAAGAAAAUCUUCUAGCGUUUAAUUAUAACCUACCCGUACCGCAAACCGACACAGGUAGUCGAGGCGAGUAGCCUCAGGUGAGCGAGAGAACUCUCGUUAAGGAACUCGGCAAAAUGACCCCGUAACUUCGGGAGAAGGGGUGCUCUACAUUUGUAGAGCCGCAGUGAAUAGGCCCAAGCGACUGUUUAUCAAAAACACAGCUCUCUGCUAAAUCGUAAGAUGAUGUAUAGGGGGUGACGCCUGCCCGGUGCUGGAAGGUUAAGAGGAGUGCUUAGCGUAAGCGAAGGUAUGAAUUGAAGCCCCAGUAAACGGCGGCCGUAACGAUAACGGUCCUAAGGUAGCGAAAUUCCUUGUCGGGUAAGUUCCGACCCGCACGAAAGGCGUAACGAUUUGGGCACUGUCUCAACGAGAGACUCGGUGAAAUUUUAGUACCUGUGAAGAUGCAGGUUACCCGCGACAGGACGGAAAGACCCCAUGGAGCUUUACUGCAAGUUGAUAUUGAGUAUCUGUUGCACAUGUACAGGAUAGGUAGGAGCCAUUGAUCUGAGGACGCUAGUUUUCAGUGAGGCGAUGUUGGGAUACUACCCUUGUGUCAUGGCUACUCUAACCCGCAUGCCUAAUCGGCAUGGGAGACAGUGUCUGCUGGGCAGUUUGACUGGGGCGGUCGCCUCCUAAAGAGUAACGGAGGCGCUCAAAGUUUCCCUCAGCAUGGUUGGAAAUCAUGCGUAGAGUGUAAAGGUAUAAGGGAGAUUGACUGCGAGACUUACAAGUCGAGCAGGUACGAAAGUAGGACUUAGUGAUCCGGUGGUACCGCAUGGAAGGGCCAUCGCUCAACGGAUAAAAGCUACCCUGGGGAUAACAGGCUUAUCUCCCCCAAGAGUUCACAUCGACGGGGAGGUUUGGCACCUCGAUGUCGGCUCGUCGCAUCCUGGGGCUGUAGUCGGUCCCAAGGGUUGGGCUGUUCGCCCAUUAAAGCGGCACGCGAGCUGGGUUCAGAACGUCGUGAGACAGUUCGGUCCCUAUCCGUCGCGGGCGUAGGAAAUUUGAGAGGAUCUGCCCUUAGUACGAGAGGACCGGGGUGGACUUACCGCUGGUGUACCAGUUGUCUUGCCAAAGGCAUCGCUGGGUAGCUAUGUAGGGAACGGAUAAACGCUGAAAGCAUCUAAGUGUGAAACCAACCUCAAGAUGAGAUUUCCCAUUCUUUAUGAAUUAAGAGCCCUGAGAGAUGAUCAGGUAGAUAGGCUAGAAGUGGAAGGACAGUGAUGUUUGGAGCGGACUAGUACUAAUAGCUCGAGGACUUUACC
rnacentral:rRNA from 1 species